AUGGGAAGUGUUCCAGCAGCCACCCCCAGCGUGCGCGAGAUCUGGCGCGCGCAGCGCGCCGACGGGCCGGCGGCCGUGCUCGCCAUCGGCACGGCGAACCCGGCGCACUGCGUGCCCCAGGACGAGUUCCCGGACUUCUACUUCCGCGCCACCAACAGCGACCACCUCACUGCCCUCAAGGGCAAGUUCAAGAGAGUCUUUCAGAAGCUAGGCGUUGAGAAGCGCUACCUCCACCACACGGAGGAGCUGCUGCGCGCCCACCCCGAGUUCCUCGACGACGAGGCGGCGUCCCUGGACGCCCGGCUGGACAUCGUCGCCACCGCCGUCCCGGAGCUGGCCGCGGAGGCCUCUAAGAAGGCCAUCUCCGAGUGGGGCCGGCCGGCCGCCGACAUCACCCACCUCGUGGUCACCACAAACUCCGGCGCCCACAUCCCGGGCGUCGACUUCCGCCUCAUCCCGCUUCUCGGCCUCCGCCCCUCCGUGCGUCGCACCAUGCUCUACCUCAACGGCUGCUUCGCCGGCUCCGCCGCGCUGCGCCUCGCCAAGGACCUCGCCGAGAACAACCGCGGCGCGCGCGUCCUCGUGGUCUGCGCCGAGCUCACCCUCAUGCUGUUCAACGGGCCCAAGGAGGGCUCCUUCGAGAGGCUCAUCCACCAGGGGCUCUUCGGCGACGGCGCGGGCGCCGUCGUCGUCGGCGCCGACCCGCUGAGCCCCGUCGAGCACGCCCUGUUCGAGAUGGUGUCCGCCGCGCAGACGGUGAUACCGGACUCCGGCGACGCCAUCACCAUGCACAUCACCAAGGGCGGGUUCGGCGGCAACAUCUCCACGAGGGACGUCCCGGUGUUCAUUGGGGACAACGUCGAGCGGUGCCUCCACGACUCGCUGGAGCCGCUCGGCAUCGGCGCGAAAUGGAACGACCUCUUCUGGGCGGUGCACCCCGGGUCGUCUGCCAUUCUGGACCGCAUCGACACGGUGCUCCAGCUCGAGCCGGAGAAGCUGGCGGCGAGCCGCCGGGUGCUGAGCGACUACGGCAACAUGUUCGGCGUGACAAUUAUAUUUGUUCUCGACGAGCUGCGCCGGAGGCUUAGGGAGCAGGAAGGGGCCGGCGGCGCGCCGGAGUGGGGUGUGGUGAUGACCUUCGGGCCGGGGCUCACCGUGGAGACGAUGGUGUUGCACGCCACUGGGCACAUGCAUGCGUCCCCAUGA
rnacentral:rRNA from 1 species